CCACAUAGCAACACACAAAAUGUGGGCAAUUUCCCCUUCACAAGGCCUGGAGAGGGCCUCCAUUUUGAGUAUGGCUAUCUGG
rnacentral:pre_miRNA from 1 species